UUACAUACAUGAUAUGAUGUUACAUACUACCACAGUUACAUUCAUCAUGAUACAUGAUGUGAUGUUACAUACUACCACAGUUACAUACAUGAUGUUACAUUCUACCACAGUUACAUACAUGUUACAUUCUACCACAGUUACAUAUAUCAUGUUACAUUCUACCACAGUUACAUACAUGAUGUGAUGUUACAUACUACCACAGUUACAUACAUGAUGUUACAUUCUACCACAGUUACAUACAUGUUACAUUCUACCACAGUUACAUACAUGUUACAUACGACCACAGUUACAUACAUGAUGUGAUGUUACAUACUACCACAGUUACAUACAUGAUGUUACAUACUACCACAGUUACAUACAUGAUGUUACAUACUACCACAGUUACAUACAUCAUGUUACAUUCUACCACAGUUACAUACAUGAUGUUACAUACGACCACAUUUACAUACAUGAUGUGAUGUUACAUACUACCACAGUUACAUACAUGAUGUUACAUUCUGCCACAGUUACAUACAUGAUGUGAUGUUACAUACUACUACAGUUACAUACAUGAUGUUACAUACUACCACAGUUACAUACAUGAUGUUACAUUCUGCCACAGUUACAUACAUGAUGUGAUGUUACAUACUACGACAGUUACUUACAUGAUGUGAUGUUACAUACUACGACAGUUACUUACAUGAUGUGAUGUUACAUGUAGGAAACCAAAGUUGUCAGUGAAUUAAAAAGAUUUGUAUUG